GUUGCCGAAACUCGAGCUAGGAAUCUCUAGACUCCCUACGGCUUUCUAGGUUGGUACGGGUCGACACCGACCUUAAAGAACAAAAUAAUCACGCUCCAAAACAACAAUGAACAUUUGUUUUGCUCUCAAAUACCCUGACAGACGAAACGCUUAGGAGGCUGAAUUAUCCGGCACGACCUUUGCCCACCUGGUCCCUCGUUUAAACAGCAUCGGCGCCUUUAUUCGCCUGACCCUAAGCGGAGGAAAACCCGCCUGAUCGGUCAUUGUCUGGUCCGCGACCGCCCCCACCCCCGCCCCAAUCAGUGUCACAAAAACGCCCCUUUCAACGGAUUCCAAACCCUCUUCACCCGGGCUCACCGAGCCUUCAACUUCAUUAAGUGCGCGCUACGGCGGCUCUGGAGGAGGCGAAGUUUAAAUAAACCCGAGCGGAGAGAGAGGAGGGGUGGGCCUGGGGAGGGUUGCUAGUUGAAGGGGAGAGAGAGAAGUGUUUUUGAAAAGGGGAAAAAAGUCAUCAGGGGAAAAGCGCUUUGUAACCACGAAGACGCGCCCGCUGUGGCGAGAACAAAUUGGAUAUGGAGGGGAAGUGUCCACCCCCACCUCAGCCCCGCUCCUGGGUGGUCCGGGGAGCCCCAGGAGAAAAGAAAGAUGGGGAGGAAUCGGCGUUGAAAAGAAUUAACCACUUUAAUUGGGCUGCAAGAGAGAAGUGGGAGAGGUUCGCGAUGUGCCUCGAUCACCCAAACCUAAUGCCCUUCAAUAAAUUAAAAUAAAAUGUC